rnacentral:rRNA from 1 species
AUACGUAGGGGGCGAGCGUUGUCCGGAAUGACUGGGCGUAAAGGGCGCGCAGGCGGCCCGGUAAGUCUGGAGUGAAAGUCCUGUGUUUAAGAUGGGAAUUGCUUUGGAUACUGUCGGGCUUGAGUGCAGGAGCGGUAAGUGGAAUUCCCAGUGUAGCGGUGAAAUGCGUAGAGAUUGGGAGGGGAACCAGUGGCGAAGGCGACUUACUGGACUGUAACUGACGCUGAGGUGCGAAAGUGUGGGGAGCGAACAGAAUUAGAUACCCUGGUAGUCCACACUGUAAACGAUGAAUGCUAGGUGUAGGGGGUAUCGACCCCUUCUGUGCCGCAGUCAACACAAGAAGCAUUCCGCCUGGGGAGUACGGCCGCAAGGUUGAAACUCAAAUGAAUUGACGGGG